rnacentral:rRNA from 1 species
GACGAACGCUGGCGGCGUGCCUAAUACAUGCAAGUCGAGCGAAGCGGCGGACAGGUGAGUAACACGUAAGGAACCUACCGAUAAGCGGGGGACAACAUCCGGAAACGGGUGCUAAUACCGCAUACUUAUCGAUGGCCUUGCGGUGCAUUAGCUCGUUGGUGGGGUAACGGCCUACCAAGGCAAUGAUCCAUAGCCGACCUGAGAGGGUAACCGGCCACACUGGGACUGAGACACGGCCCAAACUCCUACGGGAGGCAGCAGUGGGGAAUCUUCCGCAAUGGGCGCAAGCCUUACGGAGCAACGCCGCGUGAGUGAAGAAGGUUUUCGGAUCGUAAAGCUCUGUCGUCAGAGAAGCGGUAUCUUACGAGAAAGCCACGGCUAACUACGUGCCAGCCGCCGCGGUAAUUC